UUUAUUGUCUUUUUAUAUCUACAAAUAUGACUCGAUUCGUCUUGAUGUUCGUUUAAAUGGUUUAAGAUCUGGAAAUUUCAGUUAUUAUUUUAAUUAUCCUUCAUUUCUGUGUCUUUUUUUUGUGAUGGAAUGUAUCUUCAUGAUCUGUGAUUUCUACGGUGUCGCGUGAAUAUAAAUUUUCAUUUUGGCUUAAGUUAGUGAAGUGUUCGUAGUCUAUCCUUUAAUUUAAUCAUUAGGUGUUUUCCUCAUACUAUGCCAUCUGUUCCCUUGAUUUUUUAUUUUAUUUUUUUUUGUUUUGUUUUAUUUCAUUUUAUUUUGUUUUUAUUUUAUUUUUACGUUUUGAAAUGUUAAAAUUUAU
rnacentral:lncRNA from 1 species